rnacentral:rRNA from 1 species
AACGAACGCUGGCGGCAGGCUUAACACAUGCAAGUCGAGCGCCCCGCAAGGGGAGCUGCAGACGGGUGAGUAACGCGUGGGAACGUACCUUUUGGUUCGGAACAACUCCGGGAAACUGGAGCUAAUACCGGAUAAGCCCUAACGGGGAAAGAUUUAUCGCCGAAAGAUCGGCCCGCGUCUGAUUAGCUAGUUGGUGAGGUAACGGCUCACCAAGGCGACGAUCAGUAGCUGGUCUGAGAGGAUGAUCAGCCACACUGGGACUGAGACACGGCCCAGACUCCUACGGGAGGCAGCAGUGGGGAAUAUUGGACAAUGGGCGCAAGCCUGAUCCAGCCAUGCCGCGUGAGUGAUGAAGGCCUUAGGGUUGUAAAGCUCUUUUGUCCGGGAAGAUAAUGACUGUACCGGAAGAAUAAGCCCCGGCUAACUUCGUG